CCUACGGGAGGCAGCAGUGGGGAAUUUUGGACAAUGGACGCAAGUCUGAUCCAGCCAUGCCGCGUGCGGGAAGAAGGCCUUCGGGUUGUAAACCGCUUUUGUCAGGGAAGAAACGAGUUUCUCUAAUACAGAGACUUAAUGACGGUACCUGAAGAAUAAGCACCGGCUAACUACGUGCCAGCAGCCGCGGUAAUACGUAGGGUGCAAGCGUUAAUCGGAAUUACUGGGCGUAAAGCGUGCGCAGGCGGUUAUGCAAGACAGAGGUGAAAUCCCCGGGCUCAACCUGGGAACUGCCUUUGUGACUGCAUAGCUAGAGUACGGCAGAGGGGGAUGGAAUUCCGCGUGUAGCAGUGAAAUGCGUAGAUAUGCGGAGGAACACCGAUGGCGAAGGCAAUCCCCUGGGCCUGUACUGACGCUCAUGCACGAAAGCGUGGGGAGCAAACAGGAUUAGAUACCCUAGUAGUC
rnacentral:rRNA from 1 species